UGGAACUGCAAUUUGUACAUCGCCCUGAAUUCACAUGGGACUUGCUCUCCCUCCACAUGCAGUUUCCUUAUUUGCCAGUACACUAUAAACCAGUUUUGCUUUGUAUUCUCAAUGUACUAUGCAUACGGCAGGGCCUCAGUAUGAAGCAGGAUUGCUUGAGUUCUUGUAAAUGAUAUGACAGGAAUGCUGUGUGGAAGCCAAAGGCAAAUAUCUAACAGGCCAUUAGGACUAAUGGUCAACAACUUGUCAAACACUGGCACCUGCAGUCUAACAAGCUGCAUUGCUUCAGUCCGUGAACCUACCUGUUUCCUGCCCGGAAUACCAGCGGUAGGAGGCAAAGCUGUUCAGUCACUCAGAGAGCACAGAGCUGGCAAAGCCCUGUCAGAUGUUGGAGGUUUUGAAAGACAGUGUGUUUGUGAAAGACAAUGGUGUUUGUGGAAUUGCUUCUCUCUUGCUCUCGGAGGCCCAUUGACAGCUGAACAAGAGGAGGGUUUGCUUUUGUCACGGUGCUCAAGAGCCUAUUUGCUACAAUAAGAAUAGCUGGCACAUCUGCAGUGCCCUACAGCUGAGGGCCUUGAUGCCUUUUGAAAACACUGAUUAAUGAAACUUCAACACCCCUCUGAAGCCUCAGUCAAUGCAGUUCCCUUUGGUACCCCUGUUGCAGAGAUAGCAGCAGUGUUCCUGCAGUAUCCACAGCUAUGCUGCCACUUCAAGGCCUGACAUUUAAAGACAGCCUGAGAAAUUCCCCAAAGGCGUGAGGGUAGGUAGGUAUGCACAGGACUCUUUCCUUCUAGUUCUCUGUGCUGACCACUAGAGACCCUCCUAGAGGAAUCCUCGGACACUUCUGCAGGGUACAUAGAAUCUUUGAUCUUUCACUGUCAAAUGUAUGGGUCAAAUUCUGCUCUCAAUUACACCAAUAUAAAUCUGGAGUAAUUCCAUUGGGACAGAUCCUCAUUCACUCCUGGUUUAGAGCAGCUAAAGAAGAGCAGAGUUGGGCCUUCUCUGGAAAGGUACUGAGGAUAUGUGGGGAGAGUGACAGGAAACAAUGAUGUUUCUCAUUAAGAUGACCUAGUUCCUCAUGAUUUCUAAGCACAGCACUUAUUCUACAAACCAGACCAGGGUAAUUCUAUUUGUCUUUUUUCAUUGUUCUGUGAUUAGAUUGUACAUUUUAUAAUCCAUUACAUGCUGGCAUCUGAACAGGAACUACAGUGUCACUUGUAUUAACAGUUAGCAGCUGUCUCUCUCAUUUGCCAUAUGCAUACACUUUAAAUCUGUGUCAGAGCAUUCACCACAAUCACACCAAGGUUACUGAAUUAUCAGAGAGCCAAAUGUCCAGUGUUGCAUUGUGACCAUUUGCUCACCCUAAAUUUGUUGACAGGUAGUCUUGGCUUUCUUCUACAUUGCACAGUGUGAAAGGGCUCAGGAAUCCUUAAUGCUCUGUGUCCUAUGUAACUAGUAGGUUACUGCUCUUUGAAUCCUCUAGUGACCCAUGGUAAUUAUCACCUGACAGGUGUUAGGAGAUCAAUGUGAGAUGAUUCUCCAGUCCUGUUCCUAGCAG